UACGUAGGGUGCGAGCGUUAAUCGGAAUUACUGGGCGUAAAGCGUGCGCAGGCGGUUUUGUAAGACAGAUGUGAAAUCCCCGGGCUCAACCUGGGAACUGCGUUUGUGACUGCAAGACUCGAGUGCGGCAGAGGGGGGUGGAAUUCCACGUGUAGCAGUGAAAUGCGUAGAGAUGUGGAGGAACACCGAUGGCGAAGGCAGCCCCCUGGGUCGACACUGACGCUCAUGCACGAAAGCGUGGGGAGCAAACAGG
rnacentral:rRNA from 1 species